rnacentral:lncRNA from 1 species
AGAACUAUUUCUGCUCCACUGAAAGACCAGUGUCUUUAAAGAAUACAGAAGUAUAUAGCCUAGCAUGUGCUAUUCGUCGUGUCACGUUUCAAAGCUUGACGUCUCGAACAAAAUUAGAAGACUCAUUAACUCCAACCGAUGACACUAGCGCCGAAGUUGUGAAUCACUCGAACUAGAAGUCGAAUUCUCAAGUCUACAAAGUAUAAUUUAAGCUAAAAAGAGAGGUCAAACUUUCACUUCAGCUCUCCGCUCUGUCCUUCAUCAACCGCGGCGGUGGAUAUGGAUGGAUAGGAGAAAGAGAUAGGACAACAACAUUAGAAUGUGCGUAAGUUCAUACCCCCCCCCCUCCUACAGCAAGAUUGACGGGGAGGUAAAUAGAGGAAGUUUUUAGUCGCGGCUACAUUGCCGAAUAUCCAACAACCGAUACAUACCAUUAAUCCGCGAUAAUGUUUCAAUGUUGCCAUUUUUGUGAGGGCGCGUUCGAUAUUUUCGUUGAAAGCAACGUGAAGUGGGUGGGUUUGGCGUGAAAAAUGGAAACACUGUAUUUAAUUGAAGUGGAGAUGUCGGUGCUGCAGAUAAGAGGAUGAGCUCUUCAGAGCGGAAUCGCGGGUGUGUGUAUUGGAAUAGGUUCGUGUUGUGCUCGCCUUGGCGAGGUUCGCUUUUCGUGUGAUGCAACCGAGAUUUUAGUGGGAUUAGCUAAAGGUACCAUUGUGCCGCCGCGGGUGUCUUACUCUACGAUGAACUUUCAAAAUAUUACGAUGAUCUCAUUUUACGCCAAGUUGAGGACUGAAAGAGGGAGAGGCAAGAAGGAGGAAGAUGGACGAUGGUCCCUUGGCAUUGGCAUGGGUCUGUUCCUCCUGGCAAUCACAAUCAGCUCCCUGUUGGUAAUCAGCGUGUGCCAGCAAAAUGCUUACGUCUGGCUGGGAAUUGUGAUGGUGUCAAUCAUAUUUCUCACAACAUUCACUUGCACGACGCAGGUCCCCAUCCUCUGGGCGCAGGAAACAGAUUCGCGCGAAAAUUCUGUUGUAGAGGGUGAUCCUGCACAUAAUUUAUCACCAUAUUGGAUUCGAGUGACAGAUUUACCACCCAGUUACUCAGUGGCAACUUCACACCAUGUGGUGGCCUUCAGAGGAGAAAAUGUUGAGCCACCUCCCUAUUCAACCGUGAUUCUUCAAACACCGAACAUAACUUACGGCCACAGCAACCCUGUUUUUAACUAUAACGAGCCAGAUGUUGCUAGUUUACAACAGGUGACCGCGCACAGGCUACCUGCAGAGAAAAGCUGUGCAAACCAGCCAUAUUUGUGUGAAAGAUGCCAUCAUGAGACAACUUCAGUCCCUCAAGGAAAGACUGAGAAAACAUCUGACAGUGGCAGGUCAUUGACCUCAGAGUCUCAGCCAUCAGAUAGACUUGCCGAAAAUCAAAACAACAAUCAUAGUCAAGCGAAUGAAGUUCUACCCCCUGAUAGACCAACUGACCCGGCAGUUUUGCUAUCAAAAGAAACACAUCCUCAGUCGCAAAAUAUUCAAGAGUAA